rnacentral:rRNA from 1 species
ACCAGACUCCUACGGGAGGCAGCAGUGGGGAAUAUUGCACAAUGGGGGAAACCCUGAUGCAGCAACGCCGCGUGAGUGAAGAAGUAUUUCGGUAUGUAAAGCUCUAUCAGCAGGGAAGAAGAUGACGGUACCUGAGUAAGAAGCCCCGGCUAACUACGUGCCAGCAGCCGCGGUAAUACGUAGGGGGCAAGCGUUAUCCGGAUUUACUGGGUGUAAAGGGAGCGUAGACGGCGAUACAAGUCUGAAGUGAAAGCCCGGGGCUCAACCCCGGGACUGCUUUGGAGACUGUGUUGCUGGAGUGCUGGAGAGGCAAGCGGAAUUUCUAGUGUAGCGGUGAAAUGCGUAGAUAUUAGGAGGAACACCAGUGGCGAAGGCGGCUUACUGGACUGUAACUGACGUUGAGGCUCGAAAGCGUGGGGAGCAAACAGGAUUAGAUACCCGAGUACG